CACAACAAACUUUCUACACAUCGAUGCAUGAUACUCCACUGAGGGGAGAGGCAUCCUCCUGGCCUCUCCUCUCUUCGGUUGUGAGGGGGUAUACAACCGAGGGACAUGGUGGACAUCACACACAGAUAUUCUGUAGCAUAGGAUAAGCUGCUAAACUUCUAGGAUGUUUUAAAGUCCUCCAACAUCUGUAAUUGUUUUCUGUGGUGACCAAGUCACGUGGGUCUGGAGAAGAUGGGCCACAGUGACCUCUUUGACAGCUUUCUGUUAAGUCGCUUAUAUAAGGGCAGCAAAAUCACAAAGGUCUCAGAUGAUUUUUUUCUUCUCCCGUUUCCUCUUUCCUUCAUAAAUCUUGAUUUUGCUUUUAUUUGACCAAACCAAUCUAAUGCCCAUUCUCCCUCCUAUACAACGGUAAAUCAACAUGCAAAUAGCUAUCCCUUUAUUAUUCUUUGAUAGAUUUCUGCAGUGGCUAUGUCCAUAAAAAUUAGCCCAUUUGCAAUACAUCACUGGAACCAACAGAACUCUGCACCCAACAGGCACCUUGUGCAGACCUGUACCCUUAGAGCUAUUGGCUCAUGUUCCUUCAUUCUUCUAUUGGAAAUCAUCAGUAGAAACUGAGCUCUUUGGCUUUUACCCACUACUAUGGCUAUAGUACAUUUUCUCUCUCAUCUCUCUCAUUUUUGUGCCAUGAUUUUCUGCCAUUAGUGACUCCAGUGUGGGUUUCUGGUUUUGAUGUUACGAGUGAACUUCUGGGAUCAUUUUAUGACCAUGUAACAGUCGGUAUUAAAUUAUUCUCUUGAUGAAGAUUUGUGUUGUUCCCAGUUUUUCCUUAGUAUAAAAAUGAGUUUAAUAAGAACAUUUUUGGUAGAAGCCUUAUUGGAUGUAUUGUUCAUUUAACGGGGGUAAUCAAUAAAUGUAAGUGUGCUUCCUU
rnacentral:lncRNA from 1 species